AUACUCACCUGCCAGAGACGAUACCAAGAUCACGAAGGUGUUUUUCCUAGGGCAAGGCUUAUCCAUUGCACUCUGGAUGUGCUGACCCCUGCAAUUUCCCCAAAUGUGGGAAACUCAAACUGAGUUUGC
ensembl:snRNA U1 U1 spliceosomal RNA